rnacentral:rRNA from 1 species
UGGGGAAUAUUGGACAAUGGAGGAAACUCUGAUCCAGCAAUUCUGUGUGUGUGAAGAAGGUUUUAGGACUGUAAAACACUUUUAGUAGGGAAGAAAAAAAUGACGGUACCUACAGAAGAAGCAACGGCUAAAUACGUGCCAGCAGCCGCGGUAAUACGUAUGUUGCGAGCGUUAUCCGGAUUCAUUGGGCGUAAAGCGCUCGUAGGCGGUCUGUUAGGUCGGCAAGUUAAAUCCGGGGGCUCAACCCCCGUCCGCUUCCGAUACCGGCAGACUUGAGUUUGGUAGGGGAAGGUGGAAUUCCUAGUGUAGCGGUGGAAUGCGCAGAUAUUAGGAAGAACACCGGUGGCGAAGGCGGCCUUCUGGGCCAUAACUGACGCUGAGGAGCGAAAGCUAGGGGAGCGAACAGG